rnacentral:rRNA from 1 species
AGAGUUUGAUCCUGGCUCAGGAUGAACGCUGGCGGUACGCCUUAUUCACGCAAGUCGAGCGGUAAGGCCCUUUCGGGGGUACACGAGCGGCGAACGGGUGAGUAACACGUGGGUGACCUGCCCUCAGCUCUGGGAUAAGCCUGGGAAACUGGGUCUAAUACCGGAUAUGACUACAUGCUGCAUGGUGUGUGGUGGAAAGUUUUUCGGCUGGGGAUGGGCCCGCGGCCUAUCAGCUUGUUGGUGGGGUGAUGGCCUACCAAGGCGACGACGGGUAGCCGGCCUGAGAGGGCGACCGGCCACACUGGGACUGAGACACGGCCCAGACUCCUACGGGAGGCAGCAGUGGGGAAUAUUGCGCAAUGGGCGGAAGCCUGACGCAGCGACGCCGCGUGGGGGAUGACGGCCUUCGGGUUGUAAACCUCUUUCGCCAUCGACGAAGCCUUCGGGUGACGGUAGGUGGAGAAGAAGCACCGGCCAACUACGUGCCAGCAGCCG